rnacentral:rRNA from 1 species
GAUGAACGCUGGCGGCGUGCCUAAUACAUGCAAGUCGAGCGAACGGACGAGAAGUUUGCUUCUCUGUCGUUAGCGGCGGACGGGUGAGUAACACGUGGAUAACCUACCUAUAAGACUGGGAAAACUUCGGGACACCGGAGCUAAUACCGGAUAAUAUUCUGAACCGCAUGGUUCAAAAGUGAAAGACGGCCUUGCUGUCACUUAUAGAUGGAUCCGCGCUGCAUUAGCUAGUUGGUAAGGUAACGGCUUACCAAGGCAACGAUGCAUAGCCGACCUGAGAGGGUGAUCGGCCACACGGGAACUGGGACGCGCUCCAGACUCCUACGAGAGGCAGCAGUAGGGAAUGUUCCGCAAUGGGCGAGAGCCUGACGGAACAACGCCACGUGAGUGAUGGAGAUCUUGGGAUCGUAAAGCUCUGUUAUUGGGGAAAAACAGAUGUGUAAGUAGCUGUACACAUCUUGACGGUACCUGAUCAGAAAGCCACGGCUAACUACGUG